AAAAAAGUUACCAAGGGGACUGAGAACUCCAUGGAAAUAAUGUGAAAGUUAAGUCCUGCUAAGUUUUCUCACAGUAGAGGCAGAUGGAAAAGGUGGCUGGUGAAUGAGACCCAUGUCUGAUUUAGGUCGAGCAUGCCCGAUGGAGGCUCCACCUUCCACGACCAGCCUCUGACCAAGGCCUAGGAACAGGAAACCUCCUGUCUGAGGUUGGGAGAGGAAGGGAGAUGAGAACAGUUUGAAAUAAAUCCUGUGGAGACUUUCUACAAGCAGCUAUCAUAUGAGGGAAAAGGAUGCAAGACGCAGUCAUUGCUUUUCACUUUGGAGGGAAGAUCCAGGCACGCCCCUGACCACUGGACCCCUAAUACUUUACCGAGGUGGCAGGUCCCUGACUCACAGGGUUUAUCUCCCACCCUCUGGAGCACAUGCUUCGAGGCCAGGCCUCCAGUGUACUAGCUACCUCUUCCUUGCCCUCCUCAAUCAGCAUGGUGGCAUCGAUGGAGUGGAUGGAUGGGAUGGUCUGUGGGAUAUCUAGAUCUCUUUGGAUCUCACUGUGACUGAGGGUGGGAGAGUUAAUAGAAGCCUCGAGGAAAACUCAAUAAUGCUACGCCCAGCACAGCACCUGAGAUUGGAACAACGACUUGGCUUAGCUUGCAGUAGUCUACAGUCAUUUUCCUGGAUCCGGCCAAUUUCUACAACGCUCAGACUGGUAA
rnacentral:lncRNA from 1 species